rnacentral:rRNA from 1 species
AUUGAACGCUGGCGGCAUGCCUUACACAUGCAAGUCGAACGGCAGCACGGGGGCAACCCUGGUGGCGAGUGGCGAACGGGUGAGUAACAUAUCGGAACAUACCCUAGAGUGGGGAUAACGUAGCGAAAGUUACGCUAAUACCGCAUACGAUCUAAGGAUGAAAGUGGGGGAUCUUCGGACCUCAUGCUCAUGGAGUGGCCGAUAUCUGAUUAGCUAGUUGGUGAGGUAAAGGCUCACCAAGGCGACGAUCAGUAGCUGGUUUGAGAGAACGACCAGCCACACUGGAACUGGGACACGGUCCAGACUCCUACGGGAGGCAGCAGUGGGAAUUUUGGACAAUGGGGGCAAGCCUGAUCCAGCAAUGCCGCGUGAGUGAAGAAGG